GCAAACUUGCUUCAUUAUAGUUUAACUUCUUACGGGAGCCGAGUACACAUUCCUGACGAUAUUUUGAACAGCGAUGUUACACCUAAAUUGAUUUCCAGUUGAAUCCCGUCUGCGAUCUGCUGUUGAAAUUUGCAUCUUUCGUCUAUUAAAGGCCUCGUCCUAUAUUUAUGGCAUUUUUUCUGGACCUUAAACUAGCAAGGAAAGGAAACUAAGCUUCGCCACAAUAGGCAGGAUAGCCGCAACAGCAUGGCCAUUUACAGAUAAUAGAAGAUGUAAAAAGACUAUUUACAACAAGUUAUAGGAGAUGUAAAAAUUCAUCGACAACAUUAUUCAACAAGUGGAUGAGUCCUUUUUGCAAGAGGAGUCUUAGACUAGCACUGGCAAAUAAAAAUAACAAUGUUUUUUUUUUUACUUAUGUAAUCUUAUUUUAAAGAUUAAAGACAAU